UACGUAGGGCGCAAGCGUUGUCCGGAAUUAUUGGGCGUAAAGAGCUCGUAGGCGGUUUGUUACGUCCGCUGUGAAAACCCAGGGCUUAACCCUGGGCUUGCAGUGGAUACGGGCAGACUAGAGGUAGGUAGGGGAGAAUGGAAUUCCCGGUGUAGCGGUGAAAUGCGCAGAUAUCGGGAGGAACACCGGUGGCGAAGGCGGUUCUCUGGGCCUUACCUGACGCUGAGACACGAAAGCGUGGGUAGCAAACAGG
rnacentral:rRNA from 1 species